rnacentral:rRNA from 1 species
AGUGAACGCUGGCGGUAGGCCUAACACAUGCAAGUCGAACGGCAGCACAGUAAGAGCUUGCUCUUACGGGUGGCGAGUGGCGGACGGAUGAGGAAUACAUCGGAAUCUACUUUUUCGUGGGGGAUAACGUAGGGAAACUUACGCUAAUACCGCAUACGACCUACGAGUGAAAGCAGGGGAUCUUCGGACCUUGCGCGAUUGAAUGAGCCGAUGUCGGAUUAGCUAGUUGGCGGGGUAAAGGCCCACCAAGGCGACGAUCCGUAGCUGGUCUGAGAGGAUGAUCAGCCACACUGGAACUGAGACACGGUCCAGACUCCUACGGGAGGCAGCAGUGGGGAAUAUUGGACAAUGGGCGCAAGCCUGAUCCAGCCAUACCGCGUGGGUGAAGAAGGCCUUCGGGUUGUAAAGCCCUUUUGUUGGGAAAGAAAAGCAGCAGGUUAAUACCCCGCUGUUCUGACGGUACCCAAAGAAUAAGCACCGGCUAACUUCGUGC